UUGGAAAGCUCAGUGGUCGAGCAUCGGCCUGACACGCCGGGUGUCGCGGGUUCGAUUCCCGCUCCAAACCC
rnacentral:tRNA from 1 species